rnacentral:rRNA from 3 species
UGUGAGGGUUGCUGGAGGUAUCAGAAGUGCGAAUGCUGACAUAAGUAACGAUAAAGCGGGUGAAAAGCCCGCUCGCCGGAAGACCAAGGGUUCCUGUCCAACGUUAAUCGGGGCAGGGUGAGUCGACCCCUAAGGCGAGGCCGAAAGGCGUAGUCGAUGGGAAACGGGUUAAUAUUCCCGUACUUGGUGUUACUGCGAAGGGGGGACGGAGAAGGCUAUGUUGGCCGGGCGACGGUUGUCCCGGUUUAAGCGUGUAGGUGUGUGUUCCAGGUAAAUCCGGUUCACUUUAACACUGAGGCGUGACGACGAGGCACUACGGUGCUGAAGCAACAAAUGCCCUGCUUCCAGGAAAAGCCUCUAAGCAUCAGGUAACAUCAAAUCGUACCCCAAACCGACACAGGUGGUCAGGUAGAGAAUACCAAGGCGCUUGAGAGAACUCGGGUGAAGGAACUAGGCAAAAUGGUGCCGUAACUUCGGGAGAAGGCACGCUGACACGUAGGUGAAGUGAUUUACUCAUGGAGCUGAAGUCAGUCGAAGAUACCAGCUGGCUGCAACUGUUUAUUAAAAACACAGCACUGUGCAAACACGAAAGUGGACGUAUACGGUGUGACGCCUGCCCGGUGCCGGAAGGUUAAUUGAUGGGGUCAGCGCAAGCGAAGCUCCUGAUCGAAGCCCCGGUAAACGGCGGCCGUAACUAUAACGGUCCUAAGGUAGCGAAAUUCCUUGUCGGGUAAGUUCCGACCUGCACGAAUGGCGUAAUGAUGGCCAGGCUGUCUCCACCCGAGACUCAGUGAAAUUGAACUCGCUGUGAAGAUGCAGUGUACCCGCGGCAAGACGGAAAGACCCCGUGAACCUUUACUAUAGCUUGACACUGAACAUUGAGCCUUGAUGUGUAGGAUAGGUGGGAGGCUUUGAAGUGUGGACGCCAGUCUGCAUGGAGCCGACCUUGAAAUACCACCCUUUAAUGUUUGAUGUUCUAACGUGGACCCGUUACCCGGGUUGCGGACAGUGUCUGGUGGGUAGUUUGACUGGGGCGGUCUCCUCCUAAAGAGUAACGGAGGAGCACGAAGGUUGGCUAAUCCUGGUCGGACAUCAGGAGGUUAGUGCAAUGGCAUAAGCCAGCUUGACUGCGAGCGUGACGGCGCGAGCAGGUGCGAAAGCAGGUCAUAGUGAUCCGGUGGUUCUGAAUGGAAGGGCCAUCGCUCAACGGAUAAAAGGUACUCCGGGGAUAACAGGCUGAUACCGCCCAAGAGUUCAUAUCGACGGCGGUGUUUGGCACCUCGAUGUCGGCUCAUCACAUCCUGGGGCUGAAGUAGGUCCCAAGGGUAUGGCUGUUCGCCAUUUAAAGUGGUACGCGAGCUGGGUUUAGAACGUCGUGAGACAGUUCGGUCCCUAUCUGCCGUGGGCGCUGGAGAACUGAGGGGGGCUGCUCCUAGUACGAGAGGACCGGAGUGGACGCAUCACUGGUGUUCGGGUUGUCAUGCCAAUGGCACUGCCCGGUAGCUAAAUGCGGAAGAGAUAAGUGCUGAAAGCAUCUAAGCACGAAACUUGCCCCGA